rfam:Stegodyphus mimosarum contig116369, whole genome shotgun sequence.
GGUAGCGUGGCCGAAUGUUCUAAAGCGCUGGUUUAAGGCACCAGUCUCUUCGGAGGUGUGGGUUCGAAUCCCACCGCUGCCA